rnacentral:rRNA from 1 species
GUCCACGCCGUAAACGAUGAGUGCUAGCUGGUGGAUUCGUCUACGAUUUACCGGCGCAGCUAACGCAUUAAGCACUCCGCCUGGGGAGUACGGCCGCAAGGCUAAAACUCAAAGGAAUUGACGGGGGCCCGCACAAGCGGUGGAGCAUGUGGUUUAAUUCGAUGCAACGCGAAGAACCUUACCCAGGCUUGACAUCCUUGGAAGCCCGCUGAAAGGUGGGUGUGCUGCCGCAAGGCAGAGCCGAGUGACAGGUGCUGCAUGGCG